UCUCUCUCUCUCUCGCUCGGUCGACGCCGCUUUGGUGGAUAACACGUGGAAAAGGGGGCCCCAUCGUCCGAUUUUUCGCGAUAAAAUAUGAGCACGAUGGAGGGAUGGAGUAAUUUCUCCCCAAUAUUGGUGAGAUUAGACCGAUUUCUGAUUAAUUAUUCUUACUUGAAUUUGAUCCUUCGAUGCAGGAGAUAUUUUAAUAGGAAAGUGGACGAAUCGAGGCUAACUUGAAUAAUUCAAUCUGCAAAAAUCUUCAAAACGUUUAAAUUACAAUAAAGAAAAAAGAAAAAUAAUCCCUUUCUUAUUAUACUCGAAGCAAUUCUUGAAAUCUCAAAUGAAAUUUUUGAAAAAAAUCUGUCGAAUCGAAUAAUAUCCUAGACAGGGAUUCUUUGCAUAGUUUUCUACGAGGCUUAGAGUACAAAAAGAGAGAUGGAGCAUAAUGGGCCCACCAUUUGGCCCCUCGCGAGCGCAUUAUUGCGCGGCCUCCGUUGGCCGCGCGUGAGCAGGAGGCGAGCGCAUCUUUUAUUCAUCCGACAGAGUGGAGCCUUAAUUUGAAUUGAAUAGGAUUUAUAAAUUAUUUCAAAUUAUAGUUGCGACGCAUGACCGGUACGGAGACCAGGAGGAGAGACCUGGCUACCGGUUGCUGCGGGUAUCGUCGACAACGACGACGCUCUAAGCCGGUGGCGACGACUCCUGAGAAGAGUCUGGGCCCCUGCAACCUCUUCUCUCUUUCUCUUCAUCCAACUCGAGAGAUUCGGCGAUUGCAAUGACAGGUGUGGAAAGCGAAAUUUGAUUUGAUCGUUCGAAAUCGGCAAAGGAAGUAGUCCUAAUUUUGAGGUUCCAAUUAUUAUUAAAGAGUUACGAUGUUCAAAUUAUGAAUUUUUUCAGAGAAAAAUAAUCCUCGAGCUUCCGUAAAAUAAUAAUCAUUUCAAAUUAAUGUCAAGUAGAGAUUAUUUAAUUAUAGUUUUACAACAUUUUCAAAUCAAAUCAUUUCUCUACUUUAAAUGACCACGUGUUAUUUCCUUCAAAUAAAAAUUGCAAUUACAGUACACCUAAUUUAUAAUAAAUCAAACUUCUCUUUUUCCUCAAAAGAAAAAAAAAACAAGACUUAACAUCAUCCUUAAAAUUCGAGAUUCGUCUCUCUCCACUUCUCAUCUUUCCCAAGAAGAUAGAUAGAGAGAGAGAGAGAGAGGAGCAAGCCACGAUCGCGAACCUCCUCCCCCCUUUUCUUGCCGCGGCUUUUGCUCCAGGUUUUCUUACGUAAGCGGUCCGCGCAGGCAUCUCGAUCCGGAAUUCCAAGUCCCCCAAGAGCAUCGUUGCACCGAAGAAAAGUAUCUCUCCACCACCCCUUCGACCUCCUUCUUUCCUUCCCCUCCUCCUCCUCCUCCUCCUCCAUCGAUCCGUUCGGAAAAAAGGCGCGGGGCGCGAAGAAAAAGUUGAAUCGCGGGCCCCGAUGGAUACGUGGAGGCGAGCGGAGCGUGUAACGAGUUUCGAAGCCCAGGGCAAAAAGAGGAGAGAGGGGGGAGGGCGCCACUUUAUUGCUCCCGAUAGAAAUGUAUCGAAGCCGCCGCUAUUUGCCAACCUCUCUUCCCUUACCUCGUUGGAAGCCCAGGGUGUCCUUUCAUCUCACGAUCGAAACUGGAUUGCACGAUUCGACGAUAGUUUUCGAGAUGGCGGAUUUUUUUCGAGAUCGAUCGAAGUUUGUUUCGGGAGGUUUGAGCGAGCGAUCGUGGAGAAAGUGUGCGAAAAGAUGGUGUAAAAAUAAAGUUACUUUGAGUGAUUACUUGUCGAGUUUAUUCGUACAUCGCUGGAGAUUUUGGGAAUGGAAAUUUUUCAGGGACUCGCCGAGAAUGUAUCGACCUAACCUAAAAAGAGGUUGAUCAAACUUAUGCACGAUUGAACGCGAUAUUCAAGAAUAUUAAAUACCGUUUUCGAGUUCCCGCAAAGAGAAAACGCAUCGACUCCUUCCUUGGUGUCGCGCUUCCAGGUUGAAGAAAAGACUCGAAGAGAGGAGGGGAAGGAACAAAGGGUUCGCGAUGAGAGAGUAACGUUCGAGAACGACUCCGUCGUAAAUAUGGUAAUCCCAAAGUAUCAGCGCUACCCGGUGGGUCGGGGACGAUAACGACCAUUAUGCGAAUGCUCGACGAAAAGAGAAUUAGGGGAAUCAUUUGUUAGGCGAGCUGUCCGUCGCAGCUGAUAUAAUCCCCGGAUGUCGUCGGCGCCGAAAGACACUCCCCGCUAGCCUACUACACCCGCGACACACAACGUCUAAAACGACUUAGAAUAUCUAUCCUGUAAACCUGUUCCACCGGUACAACGGUGGAUCGAAAAGAGGAUUUGUGUAUUUUCGUCGAGUUCUACUCUUUUUUCUUUCUUUCUUUCUUUCUUUUUUAACGAAACGAAAAAAUGUAUCUCGAAUAUUUGCAAAGUGUCCAUUAGAUGGAUCUUGGGUAGAUAGGAAAGUCUAAUGGAUAGAUCUCACAGGUGGAUAGAGGUACACUUACUGGCCACGUGGCGCUGGUGUCGCAAAUAUCACACUAGUUGGAAAUAUCAACACUUUAUAUUCCCCUAAAAGGUUCACGAUCUUGCUAAAAAGAAAAACACUUGCUUCAAACACGUGUAUCCAUAUUACUAUCUAAACUAUCCAAGUGGUAACAGCCUCGAUAACUCGAACGUCCAAUCGUUCCUUCCUCCUUUCUAAACGCGCGAUCCCAUUGACCACAAAUCGAAAGAAACGAAUUUUCUCACGAGCGAUCGACACACAUCGAUCUCGAUCGGUCGAACGAUUACGGAUCCUGGAUCGCAGGGAUAGGUGUCCAUAUAUCUGUCACCCGGUUCGUUGACGUCGUCAUUCGCCAGCUGGUAUUACAUAUCCUCCCUCCUUCCCCCAUGGAAAGACGGACGGAUCGCGGUUUUGCCCUCAACGUUGGCCAGGUCAGGUUUUAUCCCUACGAGACGCUCUCCCUUUCCAUCCUUUCUUUUCAUCCACACCGGUUUUAUUAUAUAUAUAAAAUAAAAAACCUCGAUCGUCCGCGUUAUGAAUUACAGAUUGGCCAAUGCGUGAGCAAUGCGCGAGCAUCGAGUCGUGGCAGCACCGCGGGUAAUGCAUACUUGGCCAAGAGAAGGGGAGAGGAGAGGAGGGAAGGGGAGACUGGACUGUUGGUAUCCGUCAGUCUCGCGUAGGAUGAGUGGGACGAGGACGAGGUAAAAGUACGACGACGAUCCAUCAGAUUGUUACGAGCGGUGAAAUUUGCAACACAAACAGGUUGGCAAACUGCGAGCGGAUGCUGGCUCGAGAGCAAAUAAAGGAGCCUCCAUUUAUUAAGCCGGCAAUAAAAUAGCGCUUCUCUCCUCUUCGUUUCGCUGUCUUCCCUCUCGAUCCGUUCCGAGGCCCGUGGGUGGAACGUCGAGGUGGACCAGAGAGAGAGAGAAAGAGAGAGAAGAGGGGACACACGUCGGGGGACACGGCUGAUUUAUGCGAAAAUCGGGAGGGGGGACUCGGGACCGAGGAUUCGAGAGCGCAACACCGCCGCACGAGGUAAUGCCCUGCUACACACGUUGAAUCGGGUUAAUCCACCCCGAACCCUGUCCAAAGGGGGAAGAAAGAAAGGAAGGAAGGAAGGAAGGAAGAAGGAGAAAGGUGGAAGUCGGUAACGUUGGAUGAGGUCGAGUUGUGUGGAACAAUCGGUGGAAAAUUUUGCGGAAAAAUUCCAAUUCCCGCGUGUGGGAAUAUUUAUUUCAAAUAAGAGCGAACUAAGGAUGAAUAUGAAUUGCAAUACCCAAACUUGGUUCAUGAAUGUAUUAAUGAAUAAUGUAAUUUGAUCCACUUUGGAAACAUUUAUUGUAUCAUUUAUAGAAAAGUCUCAAUUUUGUAUUUUGAUGAAUAUGGAAACAUUUGUUAUAACUUUAGAUUGGAUAAAUGUAAGCUAGAACAAAAGUACCCAAGCUUGAUUAACGAGUGUAGAAACAUUUGUUACACCAUUAGGAAAGAAGUAUCCAGGCUUGAAUUAAUGAAUAGAAACAUUUAUUAUACCGUUGGAUGAGUGCAAAGUGUGCAAACUUGUGGAAGAAGAAUCUCAAUUUUGUAUUUUGCUGAAUGAAAACAUUUGUUGUAACUUUAGAUUGGAUAAAUGCAAAUUAGAACAGAAAUAUCCAACCUUGAUUAAUGAAUGUAGAAAUAUUUGUUAUAUCUUUGGAUAAGUGCAAACUUGUGGAAGAAGAAUCUCAAUUUUGUAUUUUACUGAAUGUGGAAACAUGUAUCAUUGGAUGAGUUUAAAGUGUGCAUUUAUAAAACAAAAGUACAGAGUAUUUUGGAAGCUUGAUUAAUAAAUUUAGAAACAUUUACUGCAUUAUUGGAUAAGUGCAAAGUGUGCAUUUAUAGAAGAAUCUCAAAUCUCUUUGUAUUUUGCUGAAUAUAGAAACAUUUAUUAUACCAUUAGAAAAGAAGUAAUGAAUAUAGAAAUAUUUAUUAUACCAUUGGAUAAGUGCAAAGUGUGUAUUUAUAGAAGAAUCUCAAUUUUACUGAAUAUGGAAAUAUUUAUUAUAACUUUAGAUUGGAUAAAUGCAAACUAGAACAAAUGUAUCCAAGUAUCGAAUAGAAACAUUUAUUGUACUUUUUAAUAGAUUAAUAGAAAUCUAUUGGAUAAGUGCUUGUAGAAGUACAAAUUAGAACAUGAAACAAAGACAUAUAGGUUAAGACAUUUAGGUUAAGUCAACUAUAAAUUGUACAUUUAUGGAAUUCAAUCUCAAUUUUGUUGAAUACAAAAACAUUUACUUGGAUAAAUACAAUUUAUAAAAUACAAAAUAUAUUAAUUCUUCAAUUAGUACGAUCAAUG